UCAACCCCUCAUAACCCUAACUUCAAUCGCAUCAAUCUGCCAUUUAAUCCAAGCCUUUAAAAUCCUAAGUUCUAUCUGUUCAAGCUAUCCAAGAUUCAAACGCUACCAUUAAUUCGAUUUUAACAGUUAUUUAAUCAGUUAUUGAAUCAUUUGAAAGUGCCUGCAUCCAGAACAUCUCCACUUUCCAAACGUUAGGCAUCGACGAGACUCACUUGGUCAUGGGACAUAAGCAAAUAUGAUUCAUCUCUGGAAUCAUUAUUUAAAAUGCCAGCCGUUACUCAAAACAAGUCAUGUAAAAGGUGGUUAGGAGGAUGCAAUCAGUUAUGCCAACCAAGUUCCUUAUCAUGGUCUGUUGAGAGCUGAUCUUUUCUUUUUUGGGCGAGCGCAAAUUCAUCUCUUCAACCAUUAUAUAAAACUCUAGCCGUCGUGCUUGGUUUAAGUGGUUUAUAGUUUGUUCAAAUUAAUAUUC
rnacentral:lncRNA from 1 species